CGGCCGCGAUUCGCCCUUAGAGUUUGAUCCUGGCUCAGGAUGAACGCUAGCGACAGGCUUAACACAUGCAAGUCGAGGGGCAGCAUGAUUUGUAGCAAUACAGAUUGAUGGCGACCGGCGCACGGGUGAGUAACGCGUAUGCAACUUACCUAUCAGAGGGGGAUAGCCCGGCGAAAGUCGGAUUAAUACCCCAUAAAACAGGGGUCCCGCAUGGGAAUAUUUGUUAAAGAUUCAUCGCUGAUAGAUAGGCAUGCGUUCCAUUAGGCAGUUGGCGGGGUAACGGCCCACCAAACCGACGAUGGAUAGGGGUUCUGAGAGGAAGGUCCCCCCACAUUGGUACUGAGACACGGACCAAACUCCUACGGGAGGCAGCAGUGAGGAAUAUUGGUCAAUGGCCGAGAGGCUGAACCAGCCAAGUCGCGUGAAGGAAGAAGGAUCUAUGGUUUGUAAACUUCUUUUAUAGGGGAAUAAAGUGGAGGACGUGUCCUUUUUUGUAUGUACCCUAUGAAUAAGCAUCGGCUAACUCCGUGCCAGCAGCCGCGGUAAUACGGAGGAUGCGAGCGUUAUCCGGAUUUAUUGGGUUUAAAGGGUGCGUAGGUGGUGAUUUAAGUCAGCGGUGAAAGUUUGUGGCUCAACCAUAAAAUUGCCGUUGAAACUGGGUUACUUGAGUGUGUUUGAGGUAGGCGGAAUGCGUGGUGUAGCGGUGAAAUGCAUAGAUAUCACGCAGAACUCCGAUUGCGAAGGCAGCUUACUAAACCAUAACUGACACUGAAGCACGAAAGCGUGGGGAUCAAACAGGAUUAGAUACCCUGGUAGUCCACGCAGUAAACGAUGAUUACUAGGAGUUUGCGAUACAAUGUAAGCUCUACAGCGAAAGCGUUAAGUAAUCCACCUGGGGAGUACGCCGGCAACGGUGAAACUCAAAUGAAUUGACGG
rnacentral:rRNA from 1 species